GGUUCCAUAGUGUAGCGAUUAGCACGUCUGCUUUACAUGCAGAAGGUCCUGGGUUAGCGUCCCAGUGCAGCCA
rnacentral:tRNA from 1 species